rnacentral:lncRNA from 1 species
GUUUGGGCCUGUCUAGGGACUAUCCCUGUCUCCAGGAAAUCCGGCAGGGGACCCAAUGUUUAUUUUCCUUCUUUCCUCAAGUCUGCUCUCAUGCAUGGUGAGACAAAAGUCUGAGGCCAGGUGAGAACAGAGAGCGUUCAGGUUUACCUCCCAGACUUGUCCUCAUCAAUAAAUGCUAUGCUUCGUAUUUGUGCUCCCACCCCAAGCUCCCAGAGGCUCCAUCUCAAUUACAGACCCCACUGGAAGGAUGCCAGCACAUGCCCAGUUCCCGUCACUGACUGGAACAGACCGGAAAAGCCGGCCUGUCGUUUAAGACCCAGGACCUCCUUAUCUUGUGGUCAUUUCACUCUUUGGGACUGGCAGGUACUGCCUCUCAGACCUACUAAAAUCAGGCCCAAGACUGUGGGGACUGGAGCUGGGAGAGGAUGGGCCGUUUUUUCUCCCAGGGAGACAGUAAUUGCAAAUGUGUCACCAGCAGUGACAUGGUGGUGAGCAAUUAAUUCUGGGGGACUCCCUGCCUGUCACCAAGUGUGUCUUCUGCCCUGAGCAGCCUCUCUUGCUUAGAAGCCUACCCCACCUUUCAGUAGACAAGCUGAUUUAUUGUAGACCCUGUUCCCUCAGGGCAGCAGGGGUCUUGCAGCUGAGGGUUUGAUUUUGGAGACAUGGCCGUGUGAG